rnacentral:tRNA from 1 species
GUGCCGGUAGCUCAAUGGACAGAGCACCACGUCUCGCAACUGGGUGAUACGGGUUCGAUUCCCGUCCGGCAUG